rnacentral:lncRNA from 1 species
AAAAAUUUUGUACUAAAAAGAGAAAAAUCUUGUAUUGGAAAAAUACUGAAAUACAAACAAAGAAUCAAAAACAAUUUUUGAAGGUAAUUUUCUUUGUGUUUUAUUUAUUUAUUUACUUUUUUUUUCUUUGCUUCUCUGUUUUUGGUGCAAAAGAAAAAGCAAAAAGAAAAGGACGAAACUUACCUAAAUCGGAGUCUGCGGCGAAGCUUGAACGGCGGUGGCGUGGCAGUAGUUAGGGCUUUAAAGAAGGCCUAGCAGAUCCCUCUUUCUUCCCUCUGUUGUUUUAAAAAAAGAAAAAGGAAGAUGAAGCAAUUUUGCGCCUAUUGCUGCUGCAGAGUAGGCUUUUAAUAGGAGAUGGAAAGAGUUUUAAACACUGAUGGGUUAUUUGCGUUUUUAAUCCUUCAUUUUAUCCCAUCAUUUCAAAAUCAUUGUGGUUUGUUUUCAAAUUUUUCCAUGAAAUGUUGAAUUUGUUUUAUUUUAAUCCAUUGCUGCGUGGAGUUUUGGACGGAGGGAUUAAUUUCACUUUCGGUCCUCCACUGUUAAUUGCAUGUUCCAUUUGAUCCAUUGGUGUUUUGUUUAUUUCAGAUUUGCCCCUGAAACUUCAAUUAUUUUCAAUUUAAUCCAUUAUCUUUCAUUUUAAGUUUUUUUUAGUUUAUUUUAUUAAUAUAGUUAUUUUUUUUAUUACUAUUAUUAUUAUAUUUAUUAUACUUACAUAUAUACACGCAUGUGUACUUUAUAAUAUAUGUGUAUAUUUUUUAUUUCUAAAUGUUUUAAAUAUAUAUAUAGUGCGUAUAUAUUUUAUUACCAUAUUUUUAUAUAUAUAGUUUAUAUAUAUAUAUUAUAUAAAUUCAUAUUUUUUAUAAUUAUUUAUGUUUUCAUGUUUUAUAAUUCAUAUGUUUAUACAUUUUUUAUAAUAUGUACAAAUCAUAUAUUUCAUUAUUACUUUAUUUUUCUUAGUUUUAUAUGCAUACGUACAUAUACUUAUAUUUUAUGAUUUUCACAUCGUUUUUCAUUUUUUAAAAGAAAUUCAAAUAUAUAUAUAUAUAUAUUUUACAUAUAUGUAUAUAUAUGCACUAUUCAAAAUCAUUAAAAGUAUUUUCCGCAUGUUUCUUGCAUGUAUAUAUAAUCAUAAUUUAUUAAUAUAUUAUGCUUACAUUUUUAUUUUUAUGUAAACUUUAUAUAAUUUUUUUGAUUAUAUUAUUUUAUUAUUUUUGUAUACAUAUAUAUACAUGCAUCAACAUCUUAUCAUACUUUUAAAGAAAAAUAUAUUUCGAUUUUGGUCAAAAUAAUUAAAUCAUCAUAUUUUAAAAAAAUUUAAAUAUUUGGCAAUCAUGAUUCUCGAGAAAGAUCGUGUCCUAACUUACUGGAUCGUGAUCAUUUUUCGAUGAAUUUAGAAAGCUAAGUAUUUAUUUUACAAUAAAUUCGCAAUUUUCAAAUAAAACCUUAUUCUCGGGAAUUCAAAAUGUCGGGUCCUAACUUACUGGUCGUGACAUUUCGUUAUCUCGAAAUAAGAAUUUCUAAAAUAAAAAGCAAUAUUCGGUAUUUUGAAGAUAUAAAAUAGUGCCCUAACUUACUGGGUGUGGUGUUUUAUUUCUUUGAAAUGAUAAUGUUUUAUCAUUUUAGAUUCAUUCACGGGUUAAAAAUUUCUAUUUAAAAUCUUUUCAAAUUUUCGACAUCAAGACAUAAAAUAAUCAAAUUUGGUACCGAUUUUUGGGCGUCACGAGGGUGCUAACCCUUCCUCGUGCGUAACUAACUCCCGAACCUGUUUUCUCAAAUUUUGAAGACCAGAAUUGUUUUUUUUGGUGAGCCGAUCACACCUUAAUAAAGGAUCGGUGGCAACUCCAAUUUUUGUUUUUAAAGUCGAUAACUUAUUUUUGUUUUCAAAAAAAUGGUUUCGACAGCUUGGCGACUCCACUGGGGACUAUUAGAGAGUCGAGCCAUGAAUUGAUUAUCUUUUGUCUUUUUUGUCGAAAAUUAAAGUUGUUUUAAAACCUGAUUUUCUCUUUGCAUUCAUUAGUUUUAAUUGUCAUAUGCUUGUUUGGUUGGUUUAAAUCUGUCGGUUUAUUUUCAUUUUUGCAUUUCAUGGUCAAUUUUACCCUCUAAGUGGAAGUGAGAAACUAGUCCUUCGUGAGGUUUUCACCUCCGUGCAGGAUAGUGGAUCGCUUUCGGAAUACAUCUGUACCUAUGUCUUCGUGAGAUUUUCAUCUCCGUGCAGCCAUAGGGAAAUGUAUUCCCCUGAACCGAACUUAGUCCAUAUGAGCCUAUAAUGGGUGAGGAUCGAGGAAUCUGCUGGUUCGGGUACCCUUGCUCUAGAAGCCAAAACCUCAUAUAGUGAACCUUAGGAACCCACCCUAGGUAGAAUUACUUUGAACCUUAGUAGACACCUAAUUAGGAGUUUUUACUAUUUCUUGGUUGUAUUGUAUUUAAUUGUUACUGACUUUUUGUGUUUUACUCUGAUUGCAUGGCAUUACAAUUACAUGGCAUUCCAUUAUAAAGAGGCGUUGUUUCGUAUUCGGUUGCUAGACAGAAAUUUUAUCAUGGGAAAUGGGUUUCUUGAUAAAGUGGAAGAUAAUACGGCUGCCUGAAUAUAUUCCAAGAAACGUAAGAAGGGUGAUGGAGGAAUACAUGACUUUACUUCGUGCCUCAAGGUCAAGCUGAUUAUUCAAGAGUUUCUGACAUUUCAACCUCCUUAAAGAAGCUGAUAACCCUUACGAGGAUGCGCAGACGUUGGAUUAUAACCAGGAUCAAGUAAAAAGGGAGGUAGAGGAGAUACCCCUUUUGGAGAAUUCACAAGAUUUAUC